AGCCAUGCUAGGAUUUGAACUCAUAUACUUGGAUUCCAAAUCUAUUCUCUGAACUUUUGAGCUACCAUUUAUUCCAUUUCUUCAUUUGUACAAUGGAAAUAACCAUUCUUCACAAGUAGGUAAAUCUUUUUCUAAGGCUUACAGUUCUACGUAGAUGUAAGCUGAUGUUAUAAAAGAUACCUUCAACCCAUGGGCUGAUAAUUUUGUGUAAUCUUACUAGUGUAGCCCUGACCUAGAACUUACUUACAUUACUUACCUCCCCUGGUUCCCUUUUGCCUCAAGCGUCAAUGUAAAAUUCUCUCUUGGGCAUUUAGAGUCCUCUACCACCUGGCCCCUUUCUUUCUCUCUGUCUCAUCUCCUAAUCCAUGACUCCCUUCAUGUUCUUAGCCACCUUUCCUUUCCUACCUGGCUUUUUCUCAGUCGUCUCUCAGAACUGGGUUUGCUCUUGUUCUUUGUCUUCUGCCUCCAGAUUUCCCGGCCCUUCUCCAGGAUUUAUCUGUCAGUCCCUUCUUUCCCUUACCUUGCAUUUUACACUAUCUGCACUCUUGUUUGUUGGACAUUGGAUUGUGCACCUUAAGGAGGGGAAGGCAUGGCUUUUGGUAAGCAUUAACUCAAUUGAUUGUUGAUUGACUGAAUGGAAGUGAGACCUAUCCUCAACUCUGAUUCCCGACUUUAUAGAUUCUACACUUUUCCUCUGUCCCGGCAAUAAUACUUCCUUGUUUGGCUCAGAUACUAAUCCUGCCUCAGAUAUCUACUAACUGUGUGACUUUGGGCACACAUCUGAUCCUUCUUCUCAUUAAAAUGGGAAUAAUAAUAGUACCUACCUCACGAAGUAGCUAUUUUUGAAGAGUUUUGUAAACCUAAUUAAAGUGCUGUUGCCAUUAACAAGUUACUCAGACCUGCCUCUCUGCUGCAGUCCAGUGCUCCAGCAUGUUCUCUGGCGAAAUAGAACAAAUUUUAUCCCACUCCCAUACUGCUGCUGCCUGCUGCCCUGAUGUGGUUUUUUUCCUCAUCUAUAAAACUUCCUAGUUCUUUUUAACUUUUCCUGAUAGGAGAGUUUGAAGUCCUCCUUCCGCAAUCUGGUGUGGUGAAACUCUCCAGUCUGGUGAGUUCAGUCUCCCAGAAGGGCAAUCCUCAGGGGGUUUUGGCUAGUCAUGCUGGUGAUACUUAAACUAGAGUAGAAGUUGAAGAAGAGAUGGACCCAUUUGAAGGGUUGCCCCAUCCAAGGAGAAGUCUGACCUGAGAUCCGGCCACUUCAGAGUGGUUUCUUUUCUGAACAACCUCCAGGGAAUUCUUGUUUGCAUUAGGAAUGGAAAUAGAUGGCCUCAGGGGGUAAUGAUUAAUAAUAUGUGAUUUUCUGAGCUAACAUGCUGCAUGAGAUUGUCUGCAUUGGGAUCUUUCCCAGUCCUUUUUUGAUUUCUGAAAUCUGCUUUCCCCAAUCCUAGAGGGCAUUCCGUCUCUGCCUGGCUUUUCCCUUUCUUGCCUACUGCAAUCUCUAAGAUUGCUUCUCUCAAAUCCAGGAUGCACCUCAGACUGCCUGCCUCUUGCUUUCUUAUCUGUUGUAGCCUCCAAGGAUAUAUAAUUGUUUUCCCAAAAAUUUCCACCAUAUCUUAUACAAGUCACAAGCAAGUCUGGAAUUGCAGAUACCUCUGGUCCUUGCUUGAAGAAAAAUGAAGCAAUCAAAGAGAAAUGAUCAAGGACUCCUCAGCUACUCUUUUGAGCAUAGAAAAACCUCCAAUGGAUAAUUCAUAGUUCAAGUUCCCCAAUACUAAUGCUUCAUGAUCUCAGUCUGCUCCUAGAAUUUACUCCCAAUUCUAAUCCUUCUGACUGGACAUUCUACAAUUACCCUGUCACUAGAGAGCUACUUCUCUUUCCCUCUCUGUGCGUCCUCCAAAAUCUGAUGCUUGGAUUUCCACACUGGAGUUUAAAUCUCGUCGACAUAACGAUCCUAUUCAUUUUCUCAUUUGCGCCUUUUGAACAAGGUUUACUGUCCAUGGCAAUUUUCCAGAUGUGGGUCUGAUGCUACCAAGUUGCAGUUAUAUCUAUGAGGUUUUGGUGACAUCUGCCCAGGACUUCAUAUUCAUGAUGGCCAAGUCCCUCUUGGUAUCAGUUCAUACCACUCAGAAGAGAAAUUUGAAUUAUAUCCAAUUUAUCACAGUAUUAUGUAUGUAUGUUUCUAAUUAAACAGAUUGCAUUACAAUGUAUUCAAAAGAAAAAAAUAUAUAUAUACUUUUUCUAAAUUUUGAAAACAAUUUUUGAACAUAGGGAUAUAUUGUAAUUUCAGGGUAGAAAUAACAGCUGGUGGUUUUCUGAAACAUUGGUUUCAAACUCAAAUAGAAAGAAAAAGGGCCACUAAUUGGUUUAUAUAAGAAUCCCUUUGGGCAAAUGUUGACUUAGUUUUAAAAUGUAAUGUUAUUUCUGUUCUAAUGUAUUCUGUGUAUUUUUAUUUAUCUUCAUUUAUUUUUAUUUGUUUUGUUAAAUAUUUUCCAAUUAUGUUUUAAUCUGAACUCUGGCCUGUUUGAUACUACCAAAUAGUCUGUGAAUUUUUGUUGUUAUUAUUUGUUUUUAUGAAUGUGAAAAAUGGGGAAAUUUUGAUCUUUAAAGAGCCAUACAAUAAAUAUAGUAGUAAAACCAUUGCUGAGAUUAAAA